AGCGACGAGUCCCAAAUAGGACGAAACGUACGUCCUUGGU
rnacentral:hammerhead_ribozyme from 1 species